rnacentral:rRNA from 1 species
GAUGAACGCUGGCGGCGUGCCUAAUACAUGCAAGUCGAACGAGGUGCUUGAGUAGCAAUACGAGAGUAUCCUAGUGGCGAACGGGUGAGUAACGCGUUGGUGACCUACCCCAAAGUGUGGGAUAACAGUUCGAAAGGACUGCUAAUACCGCAUGUGGUUAUCGGAUUUAGAAACUGAUAACUAAAGGAGCAAUUCGCUUUGGGAGGGACCUGCGUCCCAUCAGCUAGUUGGUGAGGUAAUGGCUCACCAAGGCUACGACGGGUAGGGGACCUGAGAGGGUGACCCCCCACAAUGGAACUGAAACACGGUCCAUACACCUACGGGUGGCUG